rnacentral:lncRNA from 1 species
CUCAAAGCUCAAUGUUCAACUUCUUUGCUAUCCACAGUUUGCUGUACGUGUCCCAUCGCUGUGAAAGAGGCGCUCUCUAGUGGCUUUGCGUCUGAAAAAUUGCUGCUAGAUGGUGGCAGAUCUGCUCAGAAGAGAUUCGUCUACACACCAGGAAAGCUUGAAGGUAAUAACAAGAUGUGCACUGCAGCAGUUUGGAUACAGUUUCAUUUCUACAGUCCAGCUGCCCCUGCCAAGAGGGAGGAAGCCUCCAGGGGAUAUGCAAGGCUGCUCCAGAGGUCUACUUGUCUUCAGUUUUAAUAUAGUUCUUUAAGUCAACACACUUCACUUUGUGCUGUCUGUCUUUAGCGGCAUCUGGCCCUUAAGAGUACAGGAAUAUGUGAACAAGGGACUUUGUUGUCUUAGCACCUAUUGUUUACAUUUUACAAAAAUGUACAUAUUGAUAAUAUGAGUAAAUGAGAGAUUAAAGGAUGGUGAUGUAUGACGAAUUGAUUGUGUGAGCUUCUAAGCAGAAUGAGAGAUGGCUCAUCAUUUGAAAGCCUUCCCCCCCGCUAAUAAACACC